ACCCGUUGAUCCUGCGGGAGGUUGCUGCUAGGGGAAUUCGAUUAAGCCAUGCAAGUCUGAUAGUAAUAUCGGCGAAAUGCUCAGUAACACGUCGUUAACGUGCCCUAUGGUUGGAGAUAAGCACGGGAAACUGUGUGUAAUAUCCAAUAGGGGAACCAUCCUGCAAUGGAGGUUCCUUUGAAACUCGUGCCAUAGGAUCGGACGGCGGCUGAUUAGGUUGUUGGCGGUGUAACGGACCACCAAGCCGAAGAUCAGUACGGGCCUUGAGAGAGGUAGCCCGGAGAGGGACACUGAGAUACUGGUCCCAGCCCUACGGGGUGCAGCAGGCGCGAAACCUUUACAAUGCACGCAAGUGUGAUAAGGGAAUUCCCCGUGCUCAUGCAUUGCAUGGGCUUUUGCUUAGUGUAAAUAGCUUUGCGAAUAAGUGGUGGGUAAGACUGGUGCCAGCCGCCGCGGUAACACCAGCGCCACGAGUGGUGACCACGUUUAUUGGGCCUAAAGCGUCCGUAGCCGGUUUGGUAAGUCUUUUGUGAAAUUGUUCGGCUUAACCGAACAGCGUGCAAGAGAUACUGCUAGACUUGAGACCGGGAGGAGUCAGAAGUAUUCCAGGGGGAGCGGUAAAAUGUUAUAAUCCCUGGAGGACUACCUGCGAAGGCGUCUGACCAGAACGGAUCUGACGGUGAGGGACGAAAGCCAGGGGAGCGAACCGGAUUAGAUACCCGAGUAGUCCUGGCCGUAAACGCUGUGAGCUAGGUGUUGCGCUAACUACGAGUUGGCGCAGUGUCGAAAUGAAGAUGUUAAGCUCACCGCCUGGGAAGUACGGUCGCAAGACUGAAACUUUAAGGAAUUGGCGGGGGAGCACCACAAGGGGUGCGGCGUGCGGUUUAAUCUAACUCAACGCAGAGAACCUUACUAGGGGCGACGGCAAGAUGAAGGUCAGCUUAAAGAGCUUACCUGAUGAGCCGAGAGGUGGUGCAUGGCCGCCGUCAGCUCGUGCUGUGAAGUGUCCAGCUAAGCCUGGCAACGAGCGAGACCUGUAUCUUCAAUUGCUAACAGCCACAUGUGGGACUGAGCACUUUGAAGAGACUGCCUUGGAAACGAGGAGGAAGGUGCAGGCUACGGUAGGUCUGUAUGCCCCGAAUCCCCUAGGCUACACGCGCGCAACAAUGGUUGGGACAAUGGGACGCAACUCCGAAAGGAGAAGCUAAACCUCUAAACCCAAUCCAAGUUCAGAUCGAGGCUUGCAACUCAGCCUCGUGACGACGGAAUCCCUAGUAAUCAGAAGUCAUCAUCUUCUGGUGAAUAUGUCCCUGCUCCUUGCACACACCGCCCGUCAAAUCAACCGAGCAGGGUCUGGGUAAAAUGCAGUUUUUUGAUUGUAUUGAAUCUAGGCUCAGUGAGGUGGGUUAAGUCGUCACAAGGUA
rnacentral:rRNA from 1 species